UACGGGGGGGCAAGCGUUGUUCGGAAUUACUGGGCGUAAAGGGCUCGUAGGCGGCCAACUAAGUCGGAUGUGAAAUCCCCAGGCUUAACCUGGGAACUGCAUCCGAUACUGGAUGGCUUGAAUCCGGGAGAGGGAUGCGGAAUUCCAGGUGUAGCGGUGAAAUGCGUAGAUAUCUGGAGGAACACCGGUGGCGAAGGCAGGCAUCCUGGGACCGGGCACUGACGCUCAUGCACGAAAGCGUGGGGAGCAAAC
rnacentral:rRNA from 1 species